CACGUAGGCGGCCUGUUAAGUGUGGAGUGAAAUCCCACGGCUCACCCGUGGAACUGCUUCGCAUACUGGCAAGCUCGAGGACGGUAGGGGAGAGCGGAACUCUUGGUGGAGCGGUGAAAUGCAUAGAUAUCAAGAGGAACACCGAUGGCGAAGGCAGCUCUCUGGUCCGUUUCUGACGCUGAGGUGCGAAAAGCUAGGGUAGCGAACG
rnacentral:rRNA from 1 species